UACGUAGGGGGCAAGCGUUGUCCGGAAUCAUUGGGCGUAAAGCGCGCGUAGGCGGCCCGGUAAGUCCGCUGUAAAAGUCAAAGGCUCAACCUUUGAAUGCCGGUGGAUACUGUCGGGCUAGAGUCCGGAAGAGGCGAGUGGAAUUCCUGGUGUAGCGGUGAAAUGCGUAGAGAUCGGGAGGAAGGCCGGUGGCGAAGGCGGCGCUCUGGAACGUUUCUGACACUGAGGCUCGAAAGCGUGGGGAGCAAACAGG
rnacentral:rRNA from 1 species